GUUUCUUCUAUGAAGGCUGCUUUCUGUGAGGGGGUGUUCUGUAGCUAGGGAUUCUUUCAUGAGUUGGCUGCUGAAUGGAUCAGUCUUUAAAUGGGUUGCACUGUGUGAGCAGUGAAUGCAAAGAAUGCACAACUUUUGAGCUUUGAGUGGUCCCGUGUGAACGCUCAUCAGUUGCUGCUGCAGCUUUGCUGACAGAAUUGUUGCAGUGUGCAGAAUGGGAGAGUCAGCAAUGCCUGGACCUUGAUUAUGAGAAGACCUCCCCCUGCUACUUAAAACCUCCCUUCCAAACACUGGAGGGGAGGGGAAACACAUGGUGGAGCUGAUAUAUUAAUACUCAUACAAUAGCACCAAUUGCCUGCAGGAAUAAAAAAGACCAAAACCCCAAACCUGAACAUCUAACUUGAGAACAAAAUUAAUUUUAAAAUGUAGGUCAUAUGCUAAUACAGCUCCCAACGUAACCUGUAUAGCACCAGCAAGCACAACAUAGGAGUGUGCUGUCUCUUUGUUUUCUUGCUUGCUGUUUUUUGCCACUUUCUGUGCAAAUGCAAUUAAUUCAGCCAUCAGACUCACUGGCCACAUAAGUGAUACGAUUCAUUCUCUCAUCUAAAGUUUGCUGAUGAUUUGAGUGCUGUUGUGAUUGGAGGACUGUUCUUCAUUGCUGAUGAAUAAGGAGACAAAAGGAAGCUUUCCUCUUACGAUCAUGCUUCCCCGCGGGCAGGCUUUGUUACAGGGGACUUUUGCUGUUGUCACAGCAGUUAGAUGGUCUGGGUGAACUGGUGAGCCCCAUCAGCCAAAGGGUCUUUGAAGCCAACUGGAAAAAAUGGUGCCAGUACCUUUGUCUGCGCUGGAAGAAUUCUUCUGGUGGCCUGUGAUGCCUUCCUGCUGGUCUGGAGAGAAGGAUGUCCUAGGAGCAGGCUUUGGGCCGAGUGAAUUGGCAGCAUAUGUGCUGCAGACUGUGUUCUGAGCAGUCCUGUUUGAAUGCAUCAGGACAGAUCGCUGUGGAGGCCAAAAGAGUGGAUUUGGACAAUGAUUCAGCUCUGAUAGGAUGGUUUUUCUACCGCUGUUGGAGCUGAAUAUUUGCACAGUUCAGACCUUUGCAAAGUUCAGGGUACUUAAAUGCGGGCUGUGACAGAUUCAGAGCUGCACAGUAACAACUUAUGAAUACCAUAUGCUGACUUGGAUUAUUGGACUGUUUACUGUAUAAUGAUAUUGUUUAAUUUAAUACAGAGGGAUGGAAAGAAAUAAGCGAGAAAGAAAGAUGCAAGAUAAGCUACUUCUCAAAGCAUGAGAAAUAAGGUGCAUUGCUACAACAAGAAAGAGGCAGAGCUCAUCAAGAGAUAAGCAGUACCAUUUUAAAAAAGCAAAAUGUCUUUAAGACAGGGUGAUGGUUGGCUGCAUGAAUCCCUAGAACACCUACCUGGCAAGAGGCUGAAUGUGUCUGAAGAAAGCAAGCUUGACUAUAUUGUCAUCUGCUGGAAGCAAGGAUAUAGGCAUGUGGCACACAUAUAAGUUCUCACCUGCAGAGCUGGGUGAGGUGUAUGUGUACAUAUUAAAAUAUCAGUGACACCAAUUAGUAUCCUAAGUGUUCCUCUUUUUUGUUUCAGUCGUUUUGAAACAAAACUUUUAAGGAGUUGUAUUUUCUUCUAAGACCACUUUAAAUAUAUUUAAAUAAAUUCUUGUAUCAAAAAGCUUUAAAAAUUUCAAGUCAAGAAAGGCAUUGUUUCAGGCCUGUACAUCUUGCUUUUUCUGCCUCAGCUUUUCACUUCAGUAAAGAAAAUAAGGGGAUUUAUGAAGAUAAAGGUCUUUUUUUUUUUCUUAGUUUUUGGAACUUCUAGUAAAUGAUAAGAAAAUCAGUCCACACAGCUCUGUUUAUAGCUGGCUCAGUAAUUUAAAAUCUCCCUCACCAGAAAGCUGCCUCCCCACUGCAUGUAUGCAAACACAAUUUAAGAAGGCUCUCUGGUCAUUAGAAUGUUAGAGUCUGACUCUCUGAUGGAAGAGCUGGACACUGGACCUGGUAAAUGAGAGCAAGGGCUUCAUUGAGUACUUCUAUCCAGCACAGCAAGUGCAUCAGAAUAGCAAGUGUGUUGCUUGCAGGCAGCACUGGAUUGCAAGCUGCAUGGGUACUUCAUGUCUUAGCAGCCCAGCAGCUCUACAGAUGUAGCAGUUUGGUCCCUGCUGUGCACAUGAAGUGCUGGAUUUCUUGGCAGACCUGUACUGCAGCCCACAUUGAUCUCCAUAUCUUUGGAUCUGGUGUUGUUUGCUAUCACUACUGUUUUCUAUCAUG
ensembl:lncRNA